GGACACCAACUAUUUCACCAUCUUUCAUUCUCACUUCGUCAAAUAAUCAAAAAGUUCACAACCUAGCAAAUGACGCAAUACCAAAAAUAAAUGACUUCAUAGCAAAUGGAACCAAAUCAAGUUUGAAAAGUAAAAACAAGAAAUAGGCAUACAGUCGUGAACAAAUAACAAAACUUAUUUAUGCGUAGACUCAGCCUCAUCUUUGGAAUGACCAGCUCUUGGACUUGGCAAAAAGCUCAAUCUUAGAUUUUGUUGAAGGCAACAAUAUCA
rnacentral:misc_RNA from 1 species